UACGUAGGGUGCAAGCGUUAAUCGGAAUUACUGGGCGUAAAGCGUGCGCAGGCGGUUCUAUAAGACAGAUGUGAAAUCCCCGGGCUCAACCUGGGAACUGCAUUUGUGACUGUAGAGCUGGAGUGCGGCAGAGGGGGAUGGAAUUCCGCGUGUAGCAGUGAAAUGCGUAGAGAUCGGCAGGAACACCCAGGGAGAAAUCAGCCGCCUGGGCAAGUGCUGACGCUGAGGUGCGAAAGCGUGGGGAGCGAACCGG
rnacentral:rRNA from 1 species